rnacentral:rRNA from 1 species
GACGAACGCUGGCGGCGUGCUUAACACAUGCAAGUCGAACGGAAAGGCCCUGCUUUUGUGGGGUGCUCGAGUGGCGAACGGGUGAGUAACACGUGAGUAACCUGCCCUUGACUUUGGGAUAACUUCAGGAAACUGGGGCUAAUACCGGAUAGGAGCUCCUGCUGCAUGGUGGGGGUUGGAAAGUUUCGGCGGUUGGGGAUGGACUCGCGGCUUAUCAGCUUGUUGGUGGGGUAGUGGCUUACCAAGGCUUUGACGGGUAGCCGGCCUGAGAGGGUGACCGGCCACAUUGGGACUGAGAUACGGACCAGAAUCCUACGGGAGGCAGCAGUGGGGAAUAUUGCACAAUGGGCGGAAGCCUGAUGCAGAAACGCCGCGUGCGGGAUGACGGCCUUCGGGUUGUAAACCGCUUUCGACUGUGACGAAGCGUGAGUGACGGUAAUGGGUAAAGAAGCACCGGCUAACUACGUG